CUACUGUCUAGUGAGACUAAGCCAUUAGCCGCAGUGCGUCGAGAUCCAGCGGGCGGGCGCUCCAGCAUCUCAAUAGGGUACCAGUACCUCACCAGCACCCCCUCACUGCGCAGCUGCAGAGCUCCUUUGAUUUGGUCCAGGCCCGAUUUCCUCUCAGCCUCGUUACGGAACCGCCUACGAAUGGAAGUAGAGCCACAUCCAGCCUGACACUCUUCCACUGCAGCAGACUGGAGCCAUUGUAAUGUACUGCCCUACCAUUACUGACAAACAGACAGACAGGAGACAGACGCACAGAGACGGAACGACACAAAAGAGAAAGAUAGCAGUCAGCACUCAAGUCAGAAACAGAGCAGUGAGGAAAAAGAUGGAGUCCCUCAAAUUUAAUGAGAAGUUGAACAUACUUAUGAAACAG